rnacentral:rRNA from 1 species
UACGGAGGGGGCUAGCGUUGUUCGGAUUUACUGGGCGUAAAGGGCGCGUAGGCGGUCAGCACAAGUCAGUUGUGAAAUCUCCGGGCUUAACUCGGAACGGCCAAGUGAAACUGUCAAGCUAGAGUGCAGAAGGGGCAAUCGGAAUUCUUGGUGUAGCGGUGAAAUGCGUAGAUAUCAAGAGGAACACCUGAGGUGAAGACGGGUUGCUGGGCUGACACUGACGCUGAGGCGCGAAAGCCAGGGGAGCAAACGGG